rnacentral:rRNA from 1 species
AUUGAACGCUGACGGCAGGCCUAACACAUGCAAGUCGAACGGUAACAGGAAGCAGCUUGCUGCUUCGCUGACGAGUGGCGGACGGGUGAGUAAUGUCUGGGCAGCUGCCUGAUGGAGGGGGAUAACUACUGGAAACGGUAGCUAAUACCGCAUAAUGUCGCAAGACCAAAGAGGGGGACCUUCGGGCCUCUUGCCAUCGGAUGUGCCCAGAUGGGAUUAGCUUGUUGGUGGGGUAACGGCUCACCAAGGCGACGAUCCCUAGCUGGUCUGAGAGGAUGACCAGCCACACUGGAACUGAGACACGGUCCAGACUCCUACGGGAGGCAGCAGUGGGGAAUAUUGCACAAUGGGCGCAAGCCUGAUGCAGCCAUGCCGCGUGUAUGAAGAAGGCCUUCGGGUUGUAAAGUACUUUCAGCGGGGAGGAAGGGAGUAAAGUUAAUACCUUUGCUCAUUGACGUUACCCGCAGAAGAAGCACCGGCUAACUCCGUG